UCCUAUGGUCUCAGAACCCCGGCCAGGAAGUCCGUUUUCGGCAGGUCGACUGAAAGGUUAGGUUUGAUAAAGAGAACGUUGUUGCUAGCGUUGCCAGAGACCACAGAUUAACGUUACCAGGUGCAUUAGAUGAAGCCCUGAGGAAUUGGAAGCAUAAAUCAAAAGACUGACAUUCAUGCAACAGCUCCUGCUCUACAGAGAGGAAUAACAGAUAUGAUUCACCAUGGUGGCACAGGAGGCAAGGCUAGUGACAGCAAG